UACGUAGGGGGCGAGCGUUGUCCGGAUUUAUUGGGCGUAAAGAGCGUGUAGGCGGUUCGGUAAGUCUGUCGUGAAAUCCUGAGGCUCAACCUCGGACGUGUGAUGGAUACUGCCGGGCUAGAGGAUGGUAGAGGCGAGUGGAAUUCCCGGUGUAGCGGUGAAAUGCGCAGAUAUCGGGAGGAACACCAGUAGCGAAGGCGGCUCGCUGGGCCAUUCCUGACGCUGAGACGCGAAAGCUAGGGGAGCGAACAGG
rnacentral:rRNA from 1 species